rnacentral:misc_RNA from 1 species
GAUGAAGAACGUAGCGAAAUGCGAUAAGUAAUGUGAAUUGCAGAAUUCAGUGAAUCAUCGAAUCUUUGAACGCACCUUGCGCCCCUUGGUUAUUCCGAAGGGCAUGCCUGUUUGAGUAUCAUGAACACCUCAACUCUUGUGGUUUCCCACAAUGAGCUUGGACUGUGGAGGUUUUGUUGGCCCUGUGGUCAGCUCCUCUCAAAUGGAUCAGCUUACCGGUGUUUGGUGGCAUUACGGGUGUGAUAACUAUCUACGCUCGUGGUCGUCUCCAAAUAACCUCCAGUGAUGGAGGUUCGCUGGAGCUUAUAAAUGUCUCUCCCCAGUGAAGACAGCCUUUGAACGUUCGAUCUCAAAUCAGGUAGGACUACCCGCUGAACUUAAGCAUAUCAAUAAGCGGAGGA